rnacentral:rRNA from 1 species
UUAAGCGACUAAGCGUACACGGUGGAUGCCCUGGCAGUCAGAGGCGAUGAAGGACGUGCUAAUCUGCGAUAAGCGUCGGUAAGGUGAUAUGAACCGUUAUAACCGGCGAUUUCCGAAUGGGGAAACCCAGUGUGAUUCGUCACACUAUCAUUAACUGAAUCCAUAGGUUAAUGAGGCGAACCGGGGGAACUGAAACAUCUAAGUACCCCGAGGAAAAGAAAUCAACCGAGAUUCCCCCAGUAGCGGCGAGCGAACGGGGAGCAGCCCAGAGCCUGAAUCAGUGUGUGUGUUAGUGGAAGCGUCUGGAAAGGCGCGCGAUACAGGGUGACAGCCCCGUACACAAAAAUGCACAUGCUGUGAGCUCGAUGAGUAGGGCGGGACACGUGGUAUCCUGUCUGAAUAUGGGGGGACCAUCCUCCAAGGCUAAAUACUCCUGACUGACCGAUAGUGAACCAGUACCGUGAGGGAAAGGCGAAAAGAACCCCGGCGAGGGGAGUGAAAAAGAACCUGAAACCGUGUACGUACAAGCAGUGGGAGCACGCUUAGGCGUGUGACUGCGUACCUUUUUGUAUAAUGGGUCAGCGACUUAUAUUCUGUAGCAAGGUUAACCGAAUAGGGGAGCCGAAGGGAAACCGAGUCUUAACUGGGCGUUAAGUUGCAGGGUAUAGACCCGAAACCCGGUGAUCUAGCCAUGGGCAGGUUGAAGGUUGGGUAACACUAACUGGAGGACCGAACCGACUAAUGUUGAAAAAUUAGCGGAUGACUUGUGGCUGGGGGUGAAAGGCCAAUCAAACCGGGAGAUAGCUGGUUCUCCCCGAAAGCUAUUUAGGUAGCGCCUCGUGAAUUCAUCUCCGGGGGUAGAGCACUGUUUCGGCAAGGGGGUCAUCCCGACUUACCAACCCGAUGCAAACUACGAAUACCGGAGAAUGUUAUCACGGGAGACACACGGCGGGUGCUAACGUCCGUCGUGAAGAGGGAAACAACCCAGACCGCCAGCUAAGGUCCCAAAGUCAUGGUUAAGUGGGAAACGAUGUGGGAAGGCCCAGACAGCCAGGAUGUUGGCUUAGAAGCAGCCAUCAUUUAAAGAAAGCGUAAUAGCUCACUGGUCGAGUCGGCCUGCGCGGAAGAUGUAACGGGGCUAAACCAUGCACCGAAGCUGCGGCAGCGACGCUUAUGCGUUGUUGGGUAGGGGAGCGUUCUGUAAGCCUGCGAAGGUGUGUUGUGAGGCAUGCUGGAGGUAUCAGAAGUGCGAAUGCUGACAUAAGUAACGAUAAAGCGGGUGAAAAGCCCGCUCGCCGGAAGACCAAGGGUUCCUGUCCAACGUUAAUCGGGGCAGGGUGAGUCGACCCCUAAGGCGAGGCCGAAAGGCGUAGUCGAUGGGAAACAGGUUAAUAUUCCUGUACUUGGUGUUACUGCGAAGGGGGGGACGGAGAAGGCUAUGUUGGCCGGGCGACGGUUGUCCCGGUUUAAGCGUGUAGGCUGGUUUUCCAGGCAAAUCCGGAAAAUCAAGGCUGAGGCGUGAUGACGAGGCACUACGGUGCUGAAGCAACAAAUGCCCUGCUUCCGGUGAAAAGCCUCUAAGCAUCAGGUAACAUCAAAUCGUACCCCAAACCGACACAGGUGGUCAGGUAGAGAAUACCAAGGCGCUUGAGAGAACUCGGGUGAAGGAACUAGGCAAAAUGGUGCCGUAACUUCGGGAGAAGGCACGCUGAUAUGUAGGUGAAGUCCCUCGCGGAUGGAGCUGAAAUCAGUCGAAGAUACCAGCUGGCUGCAACUGUUUAUUAAAAACACAGCACUGUGCAAACACGAAAGUGGACGUAUACGGUGUGACGCCUGCCCGGUGCCGGAAGGUUAAUUGAUGGGGUUAGCGCAAGCGAAGCUCUUGAUCGAAGCCCCGGUAAACGGCGGCCGUAACUAUAACGGUCCUAAGGUAGCGAAAUUCCUUGUCGGGUAAGUUCCGACCUGCACGAAUGGCGUAAUGAUGGCCAGGCUGUCUCCACCCGAGACUCAGUGAAAUUGAACUCGCUGUGAAGAUGCAGUGUACCCGCGGCAAGACGGAAAGACCCCGUGAACCUUUACUAUAGCUUGACACUGAACAUUGAGCCUUGAUGUGUAGGAUAGGUGGGAGGCUUUGAAGUGUGGACGCCAGUCUGCAUGGAGCCGACCUUGAAAUACCACCCUUUAAUGUUUGAUGUUCUAACGUUGACCCGUGAUCCGGGUUGCGGACAGUGUCUGGUGGGUAGUUUGACUGGGGCGGUCUCCUCCUAAAGAGUAACGGAGGAGCACGAAGGUUGGCUAAUCCUGGUCGGACAUCAGGAGGUUAGUGCAAUGGCAUAAGCCAGCUUGACUGCGAGCGUGACGGCGCGAGCAGGUGCGAAAGCAGGUCAUAGUGAUCCGGUGGUUCUGAAUGGAAGGGCCAUCGCUCAACGGAUAAAAGGUACUCCGGGGAUAACAGGCUGAUACCGCCCAAGAGUUCAUAUCGACGGCGGUGUUUGGCACCUCGAUGUCGGCUCAUCACAUCCUGGGGCUGAAGUAGGUCCCAAGGGUAUGGCUGUUCGCCAUUUAAAGUGGUACGCGAGCUGGGUUUAGAACGUCGUGAGACAGUUCGGUCCCUAUCUGCCGUGGGCGCUGGAGAACUGAGGGGGGCUGCUCCUAGUACGAGAGGACCGGAGUGGACGCAUCACUGGUGUUCGGGUUGUCAUGCCAAUGGCACUGCCCGGUAGCUAAAUGCGGAAGAGAUAAGUGCUGAAAGCAUCUAAGCACGAAACUUGCCCCGAGAUGAGUUCUCCCUGACUCCUUGAGAGUCCUGAAGGAACGUUGAAGACGACGACGUUGAUAGGCCGGGUGUGUAAGCGCAGCGAUGCGUUGAGCUAACCGGUACUAAUGAACCGUGAGGCUUAACCU